GACGAACGCUGGCGGCGUGCCUAAUACAUGCAAGUCGAACGAAGCUGUUUUAACCGGUGCUUGCACCGACUUAAACAACUGAGUGGCGAACGGGUGAGUAACACGUGGGUAACCUGCCCCAAAGCGGGGGAUAACAUUUGGAAACAGAUGCUAAUACCGCAUAACCACAGAAACCACAUGGUUUCUGUGUCAAAGAUGGUUUCGGCUAUCACUUUGGGAUGGACCCGCGGCGUAUUAGCUAGUUGGUAAGGUAAUGGCUUACCAAGGCAAUGAUCCGUAGCCGAACUGAGGGGUUGAUCGGCCACAGUGGGACUGAGAAACGGCCCAAACUCCUACGGGAGGCAGCAGUAGGGAAUCUUCCACAAUGGACGAAAGUCUGAUGGAGCAACGCCGCGUGAGUGAAGAAGGUUUUCGGAUCGUAAAACUCUGUUGUCAGAGAAGAACGUGUGCGAGAGUAACUGCUCGUGCAGUGACGGUAUCUGGCCAGAAAGCCACGGCUAACUACGUGCCAGCCGCCGCGGUAA
rnacentral:rRNA from 1 species